UUUUGUUUCACAUAUUCAGCAGCACGUGCACCUCCAUGGCCAUCAAAGACUCCAAACAGGCCAACUAUCUCUCCAUCAACACCAUCAAUUCUUGUCUCAUAAAAAUCUUCCAUGGAAGAUCUUUUCCCUGGAGAGCUUGCGUAUCCAUAGCUGAAUUUUCCGUUCUGACUGAGACCACCACCGCUGACUGGCGCAUCAUCAGCAUGAACCUGGUUUGAAGAUGACAGGACUGAAUUGAGGUAACCCAUAUUCUUGCUAGAAAUUUCAGGUAGCCCACCUCGUAUCUCUUUGAUAAAGAUUAGAAAACAAAAUAAAACCAGCAGGAAGAACAGUUUCUGAUGUUUAUUAUAGCAGAUAAUAAGCCUACCCUUGACCUCUAUGGUGUUAACAUUUAUGGUAUUAUUUCUAAUUCAGGAAUUAUCAAGCUUAGCCUGAAGGAAAGCAAGAGAAAUGAAAUGCCAUUAAGGAACAGAUAGCUUAAAAGGCGUUAAAGAGCAAAAGGAUGAGUAAAAUGAGAAAGAGAG
rnacentral:misc_RNA from 1 species